AUAAUGCAACAGCUAGCUAGUCAGUACCAUACCCAAAUCAACCCAGCCGCUCAGCGAAGUGAUAACUCUGGCAGCUCUCCCCAGAACCCCAGGAUUGUGAAGCAGAAUUUUCCAAGUCUGGCAGGUUCCUAGCGCUGUGAGAAGCUCCACAAAGGCAAAGAAAAGGGCUCCGUGGCAAAGUCUGAGAACUGCUGCUUGCUGUAUCCCCACAAAGACGCAUAAUGCACAUUACAUAGUAAAAACAAACAAACAAAUAAAAAAACCCACUGAGA